UCCGUAGGUGAACCUGCGGAAGGAUCAUUACCGAGUUGAUUCGAGCUCCGGCUCGACUCUCCCACCCCAUGUGUACCUACCUCUGUUGCUUUGGCGGGCCGCGGUCCUCCGCACCGACCCCCGUUCGGGGGCCGGCCAGCGCCCGCCAGAGGACCACAAAACUCCAGUCAGUAAACGUCGCAGUCUGAGAAACAAGUUAAUAAACUAAAACUUUCAACAACGGAUCUCUUGGUUCUGGCAUCGAUGAAGAACGCAGCGAAAUGCGAUAAGUAAUGUGAAUUGCAGAAUUCAGUGAAUCAUCGAAUCUUUGAACGCACAUUGCGCCCCUUGGUAUUCCGAGGGGCAUGCCUGUUCGAGCGUCAUUUCAACCCUCAAGCUCUGCUUGGUAUUGGGCUCCGUCCUCCGCGGACGCGCCUCGAAGACCUCGGCGGUGGCGUCUUGCCUCAAGCGUAGUAGAAAACACCUCGCUUUGGAGCGCACGGCGUCGCCCGCCGGACGAACCUUUGAAUUUUUCUCAAGGUUGACCUCGG
rnacentral:rRNA from 1 species